UCCUGCAUCACGGCGUUCGUACCUGCCUCGAAUAUCAGCGCACCGGCGACGCGGCUGCCGCGCGGCGGCUGUCGAACCCUGAUCUCGCGCCGCAUCUGGCCUUCCUGGACAUGGGCGGCCACGGCUACGCCGUGCUCAGGUUGGGCGCGGAUAGGGUGGAGUGCGAGUUCGUGUGCAUUCCCCGGCCGAGCGAGCCGACUUCUGAGCGGGAUGGCGGACCAAUUCGGUACCGCGUCGUGCACCGGGCGGCGCGGUGGCCGUCCGGCGGGCGUCCGCAUCUCGAACAACUGGUCGUCGAAGGCGAUCCGGACCUCGCGUUGUGAGCGCCGUCGGCACGCUCAGCGCAUCGGAUUCGUGAGAUCCAAAUCGGAUCGGUCCAGCACGUUGUCCGCGCCACCGACACGAAACCAGCGCCACGCGUGCCCCUCCAGUUCGAUGUGGUGCGCGCCGUCGUCGCGGACCUUGCUGUGCCGGCCGUCAAACACUUCGACGAGGAGUCCAUCGCGGGCGCAUCCGAUUUUCGCUCUCACCGUUUGCUUCGCACUGCUGAAAUUAUGAACGGUCACCAAUGACGUAUUGCGCCAGUCGUAUCGCAUCGCGAGCACUUCCCGUACGUCGGUGCGCAGGACGA
rnacentral:misc_RNA from 1 species